UGGCAAAUGAUGAUGUUUACUUGGAUUCCCCUUCAGAACAUUUUGUAUGUUGCAAAUUCCAAGUUUCUGAUGCU
rnacentral:snoRNA from 2 species